rnacentral:rRNA from 1 species
CGAUAACGAACGAGACCUCGGCCCUUAAAUAGCCCGGUCCGCAUUUGCGGGCCGCUGGCUUCUUAGGGGGACUAUCGGCUCAAGCCGAUGGAAGUGCGCGGCAAUAACAGGUCUGUGAUGCCCUUAGAUGUUCUGGGCCGCACGCGCGCUACACUGACAGGGCCAGCGAGUACAUCACCUUGGCCGAGAGGUCUGGGUAAUCUUGUUAAACCCUGUCGUGCUGGGGAUAGGGCAUUGCAAUUAUUGCUCUUCAACGAGGAAUGCCUAGUAGGCACGAGUCAUCAGCUCGUGCCGAUUACGUCCCUGCCCUUUGUACACACCGCCCGUCGCUACUACCGAUUGAAUGGCU